rnacentral:snRNA from 1 species
AUCGCUUCUCGGCCUUUUGGCUAAGAUCAAGUAUAGACAGCAUAUGCUUAUAUUUGAUGUUUUUAUCCAAUGUGAUAAUCUCUGAGGCUUAACUGGAGUAUUAAAACCAUUUAUAAUUGCUGCUGUACCUAUGGUAAGAUGUAAAUCUAC